rnacentral:rRNA from 1 species
GAUGAACGCUAGCGACAGGCCUAACACAUGCAAGUCGAGGGGCAUCGGGGUGUAGCAAUACGCUGCCGGCGACCGGCGGAUGGGUGAGUAACGCGUAUGCAACCUGCCUUCAGCAGGGGGAUAGCCCGUUGAAAGACGGAUUAAUACCCCAUAACACAGGGGCUCCGCAUGGAGAUUAUUGUUAAAGGGAUACUUCCGUUCGGGGGUAUUCCGGCUGAAGAUGGGCAUGCGUUCCAUUAGGUAGUUGGUUGAGGUAACGGCUCACCAAGCCUGCGAUGGAUAGGGGAACUGAGAGGUUCGGUCCCCCAACUGGUACUGAGACACGGACCAGACUCCUACGGGAGCAGCAGUGAGGAAUCUUGGUCAAUGGACGGAAGUCUGAACCAGCCAUGUCGCGUGAAGGAGGACGGCCCUAAGGGUUGUAAACUUCUUUUGCAGGGGAAUAAAGUAUUCCACGAGAUGGGAUAUUGCAAGUACGCUGCGAAUAAGGAUCGGCUAACUCCGUGCC